rnacentral:misc_RNA from 1 species
AAAGUCGUAACAAGGUUUCCGUAGGUGAACCUGCGGAAGGAUCAUUAUUGAAAUCCUUAGGAUGUUGCUGGCCUUUCGGGGCAUGUGCACUCCGCCUUUUCAAUUCACCUGUGAACUCAUUGUAGGCCGGACUUGUUAACUCAAGUCUGUGUCUAUGUUUUUAUACACCCUAUUAAAAAGUUUAACAGAAUGUCAUAUCAGACCUUUACUGGUCGAAAUAAAUUAAUACAACUUUCAACAAUGGAUCUCUUGGUUCUC